rnacentral:tmRNA from 1 species
GGGGAUGCUCAAAAAUCGCUCGAUCGUUGACAGCAGGUGAAUGCAAGCCGGUAACCCAGGUAAUCCGUAUAAAUAGCCCUGGAACAAAUGGUAAGUGUCAACACACUCGCCGGCAAGCUGAAGUCGGCACUCGCGCGAGCGUUUGCCGUUCCGCAGUUUGCUCCCGCUGUUGCCUAAAAACCAACGGCCAUCUGUGCCCACGCGCUGGGUCGAAUUUUUAAGCGGACUACGCUUGUAGUCGUUCGCCUGUCUGCCCGAUGAGACGCGGGUGCAAUACCCGCCAUCUCCACCA